CCUUAUUGAUCUAAGCAUACAGACCAGUGCUUUGAUCGCAAAUAGUAGAAAUGAUCGAAUCGGCGGCUUGUAAAACAUCUCCUUAACUUUUGGUGGCCUAUUUGUAGACAUAGUACUAGAGCCGAUUUACGCAAUCGAAUACCGCCGGAAGUAGAACAUUUAUGUCAACACCGGUUUCGUAUUUUCACGUGAAAACGGCCGAAAACUGAGAGGUUAUCACGUUAAUCAUAUAUGCAGUAUCGAAUAUGACUAUAGGUAGUACACUGAGCGUACAAUACACUGACUAGAGGUUAGGGUUAGGUUUAACAUAGGUAUAUGAUACUGUACUACCACCAAUAACAUCAGUACUGCAUAUAGAGCUAACCAGGUUAUCAACAAAUUAUAAGUUUACGGGUACCAUGAGGAUUUUUCAUGCAUUUAAACGACAGAAGUACAAGUGAACAGAUGACACAUUAAACAGUUGUUAAAGUGGCUGCCGAAAAGUUAAAAGUUAGAUAGAGCAAGGGCAGUCAAAACAGUGGGAUGAUACUUCUAUGUAAUUUCUUUUUAAAGUGUAUCAUAUGAUGAGAAUGUCAGUGUUGAUCUGUACGACAUAAUUAAACACAGAUAUUGAUACCUUCAGAUAUAUACCUGUGAAAUCUUCAGUGUCACCGCUCAGCUAUUGUUCAAGAUCAGUGUCUGCAGCUUACACAGUUUAGUAUAGAGGAGCCUUCUGAAUCAAUUUUGUUACAUAUUUGCUGUUAUUGUAGGACACACAUGUAGAGAGUAACAAGUCCUGUCCAGCCGUGCAUUUAAAUGUGAUUCAGAAACUUGGAGAAUAUGUAAACAGUACACUGUUACAAUUUUUAAAAUGCUGUGUCUUGCAGUGUAUCAGUACUGUUUAGUUUCAGUUUAUAGCACAGUAUGUUCACAAAUCAAACUGAAGAUCAUAGUGAUCAGUAUUAUUAAAAUUAUUAAUUAUUAAUUUUGUAUGGUGACAAAAUUUAAUUUCAUGCAAUACCACAGUAAAACGUUUGAUAACUUUCACUUUAAAAGUUGUAAGUUUAAAGUUGGCAUAGAUUGUUUUUCUCCUUCAUAAAUCUAAAAAGUGAUUUGUCAUUAUAAUUGCAAUAUCAUUUUAGUAUGACAAAGUUAAUAUUGAACUAAAACACUAAUGCAAAUUUUUGAACUAGUCAAAUCAUUUUCUUCAGUCUUAAAACAUUCGUUUAUCGUACGUGGGAUGGCCCAUAACUCCUCCAUAUUACUUGUGUUUUGUCCUUUUUAGUUUCACUGAAGAAUAGGUAGAGGUAUUGCACAUCCAUUUUAUAGCAUCCCUAUUUUGUAAAGUGUUGUAUGUAAGGUUUUAUCUCGGAAUUAUGUCUCAUCUAAAGGUGGGGAGAGGUAUUGUUUAUGCCUUCUCGUCUGUCCGCAUUAAGCCUGUCUGGCUUUAAGAGGACAAGCUGCUGGCCAGAUUCUGAUGAAACUUCACAGGACUGAUCAGUACCAAUCAUAGUGUUGUGCAUAUCGCUUGCAUGUUUCGUUUCAAUGCACUAAAUUACAGCCAGAGCUAACAAUAGAAAAAUCUUGUCGGCUUUCACAGGUCAAAACUACUUAACAGAUUUUGAUGAAACUGCACAAGAGUGAUCAGUACCAAGUAUAUUUUUGCAUAUCACCGACACUUUCCAUUUUGCUGCACAAAAUAGCUGCCAUUCUAUAGCUAAAGGUAUACAUAGGUGGGAGACAUAUUUUGUCAUAAAAAUACCUAAACACCUUCCACUUUGUUAAUGAAAAAUGUUCUUACAAUUACAAACUGUAAUAAUUUGACAUUAAAUGCACUAGUUCCAUAAAUGUAUUUGGCUUUUUCAUAAUUAUUGCCCUUUUCUUACCAUAGCAAUAUUUUGUGUAACAUGUUACCUCAUUAAGCAUCAAAAGAUCAGAAAGUUCUAUGACUCAGAAAUGAUGGCCGUUUUGUACUUGUCAUAAGUAUAUUUUCAGUAUUUUAUAUAAUUGUCAUUACUUUUUGUUGUGCCAGUUUACGGAAAUGAAGACUUUGUUGUUCAUGUCCAAAUGGUGUGCCUGUGCCUGUCCCGAUUUGUUUGUCUGGACAAUAUAUUAUUGACUAGUUUUCACGAAACUUUGUAGGUUAAUUUCCUUAAGUUCCCUUUCAACUUUGAUAGUGGCAUGGUUACUUUAGAAACACUAAAGUGAUGUCACCACUGUUCUAGUCAAAAGUUUUGUAUUUCAGAUUUUAUAUCACAUUACAGGCUACUGGUCUUAGCAGCCUUCAUAAAACUUUUAUUAAAGUUUCCAAAAAUGUUGUAUUUUGAUUUGAGCUGGCAUUAUUCAAACAUUAAGAAGUAGUACUAUAAGGCAACAUAUGACCUCUUUUCCAGUAUUUUUUGAUUUUGUUCUGUUAUUAUGAAGUUGCCUUUUCCUAGAAAUUGGUUGGCUUAUUUUUGAUGAUUUUAUGUUUUUAAUGAAUUGUAUCUAUAUUCUUUAUCUCAUGAAAAUGCCCAUUAUUAUAUAAUUCAUAUUUUUUAUUGUCAGCUAAGUGCAAUACCACAUACUUAUCACUUUCAUUAACAUACUUGUACUAUUUUCAUAAAACAUUAUAUAAAUCAUUAUAUUUCAUAUAAACAGAAUUAAAUAAAUAUUUAAGAACAUCAGUGUUUUCUUUGAUUGCUACAUGAAACAGACCAUAGGUCAAUUUAGGGUCAAUUCUGACACUUUAUAUGCAAAUUGAUAAG